UACGGGCCGGACAAACGUUAUUCGGAAUCACUGGGCUUAAAGAGUGCGUAGGCGGCCAUGCAAGUUGGGUGUGAAAUCCCUCGGCUCAACCGAGGAAUAGCGCUCAAAACUGCAUGGCUUGAGGGAGACAGGGGUGAGCGGAACUGAUGGUGGAGCGGUGAAAUGCGUUGAUAUCAUCAGGAACACCGGUGGCGAAGGCGGCUCACUGGGUCUCUUCUGACGCUGAGGUACGAAAGCUAGGGUAGCGAACGGG
rnacentral:rRNA from 1 species